rnacentral:rRNA from 1 species
GUCGUAGCAAUGGAUAUCUUGGUUCUUGUCACGAUGAAGAACGCAGCGAAAUGCGAUACGUAAUGCGAAUUGCAGAAUUCAGUGAAUCAUCGAAUCUUUGAACGCAAGUUGCGCCCGUCACCGGGCAUGCCUGUUUGAGUGUCGU